GGCUCCACCCCUAAGGAUCUAGGUGUGGACAGGCGUUUCCUGCCCACAUGUUGCGUUUCCCAAGACCACCCUGGCCUGCCACGCCCCCAACCUGUGCCUAUAAACCUCCCAGACCCCAGCAGGCAGACACACAGGUGGGGUGGACGUCUGGAGAAACUGGCGCGGAAGGCCAGUGACCAGCAGAAGCACAGUGAUGCAGAGUUUUGCUGGGGCAGUUGGAAAUGAGCCCAGGACGCUGAGUGGCCUGACUCCAGGGGAAAACCUUCCCACUCCAAGUUGAGCUGGUUAACACAAGCCGCCUAUAUAGACUGCAAAACUAAAAGAACACCCUCUAACACACGUCCACUGGGGCUUCCGGAGCUGUAAGCGUUCACCUCUAGACACUGCCUGGGUUCGGAGCCCCACAGCCUGCCCGUCUCAUAUGCUCCCUUAGAGUUCUGGAGGCUGGGAAGUCCAAGGUCAAGUAUCAAUAGAUUUGGCAUCUGAUGAGGACUGUCCUCUGUUUCAAGAUGGCACCUUGUUGCUGUGUCCCCUGAAGGCGAUGAACACUGUGUCCCUCACAUGGCAGAAGGGGUGGAAAGGGUAAGUUCACCCCCUUAAAUCCUUUUAUAAGGCACUAACCCAUUCAUAUGGGCAUAGUCCUCAGGACUUAAUCACCU
rnacentral:lncRNA from 10 species